rnacentral:rRNA from 1 species
GAUGAACGCUGGCGGCGUGCCUAAUACAUGCAAGUCGAGCGAACAGACGAGGAGCUUGCUCCUCUGACGUUAGCGGCGGACGGGUGAGUAACACGUGGAUAACCUACCUAUAAGACUGGGAUAACUUCGGGAAACCGGAGCUAAUACCGGAUAAUAUAUUGAACCGCAUGGUUCAAUAGUGAAAGACGGUUUUGCUGUCACUUAUAGAUGGAUCCGCGCCGCAUUAGCUAGUUGGUAAGGUAACGGCUUACCAAGGCAACGAUGCGUAGCCGACCUGAGAGGGUGAUCGGCCACACGGGAACUGAGACACGGUCCAGACUCCUACGGGAGGCAGCAGUAGGGAAUCUUCCGCGAUGGGCGAAAGCCUGACGGAGCAACGCGGCGUGAGUGAUGAAGGUCUUCGGAUCGUAAAACUCUGUUAUUAGGGAAGAACAAAUGUGUAAGUAACUAUGCACGUCUUGACGGUACCUAAUCAGAAAGCCACGGCUAACUACGUG